CCUACGGGAGGCAGCAGUGGGGAAUAUUGGGCAAUGGGCGGAACCCUGAUCCAGCAACGCCGCGUGAGGGAAGAAGGAUUUCGGGAUGUAAAGCUCUAUCAUCAGGGAAGAAAGAAAUGACGGUACCUGAGUAAUAAGCCCCGGCUAACUACGUGCCAGCAGCCGCGGUAAUACGUAGGGGGCAAGCGUUAUCCGGAUUUACUGGGUGUAAAGGGCGUGUAGGCGGGAAUGCAAGUCUGAAGUGAAAGGCUGGGGCCCAACCCCCGGCCUGCUUUUGAAACUGUUUGUCUUGAGUGCUGGAGAGGCAAGUGGAAUUCCGAGUGUAGCGGUGAAAUGCGUAGAUAUUCGGAGGAACACCAGUGGCGAAGGCGGAUUACUGGACUGUAACUGACGUUGAGGCUCGAAAGCGUGGGGAGCAAACAGGAUUAGAUACCCCUGUAGUC
rnacentral:rRNA from 1 species